UGCAGUCCAGGAGACUGCGCAGGAAUUCGCAGUGAAAAGCUCAGCCCUGAGGAAGAGGAGAUCCUUCCUCCCACAACCCCUGCCUAGGACCAAAGGAACUCACUGCACAGACUCAACUGGGAGGAGAUUAUGGAAAUGCUAACUUUAAUACGAAGCGGGGAUAGGUGAUGCAUAUGUGUAGGCGUAUUGCGAAAUAUUAGGAAUAUGUAAUCAUUUGCUCUAGAAAUCUAAGGCAACGGCGCCAUAUGGUGGCACACAUUGGGAGGCGCGAUCCCCUGCGUGCCCACCGCUGAGUAAACAUACCUGCUUUACAAUCUGUCAGAUUGUGGAGUCUGUUUUCCGCACAUCAGUUCCUGAACCAGGUCGCCACGCCAGCGAUAGGCGACAAGAGGUGCCGAAACCCGGGAAUCGUCCCCUGGAUUCGGGUGAACGGCGGCUGGAGCGGCGGGACCAGCCCGGUGGGGGAGGUCAGGGGAGGACGCUCCCGGAGCAGGACCACCAAGGAGGAUGGAAGCCCUUGUGAAGGACCAGAUCUUCGGACACCCCCAUAACCCGUACACCCCGGUGGCAGAAAAAGCGGAUGAGCCAGCAGGCGCCCCAUCUACGCCUGGGAGCCCCGCAUUGGCAGGAACCAAGCGACGACUGCGAUGCCUUUGUGCGAUUUUGAUUUUAGAGCUUGUCACCAUAGGACAGGUACAAUCGAGUCGCUUUCACCAGCAGCCAUUUAAAUGGUCCCUCAUUCGACCAGAGGACCCCCAAGUUAUCGCAACUCAAAUAACAUCAGGCGCGCCAAGUUUUAAUGCCUCUCUGUGUCAGCUUGUCCCGAGAGACCGAUGUUGGGAAUACAUGGGAUUUUAUAUGUGUCCUAGCUCGAAUCCUGGGAAGGGGUAUUGUAACUACCCUAACCAAUACUACUGUAGUUAUUGGGGAUGUGAAACCGUAGCCCCUGCUUGGAUACCGGGUAGCGGUAGAGACAAAUACCUAAAAGUCCAGUGGGGUCCAUAUGGGUGCAUUCCACCACAAGCAUGGCAAGGACGUGGAAACUGCCGCUACCUCUUCUUAAAUGUUACCGAGCCCCAAGAGGAUAGUUGGCUACUUGGGAAAACUUGGGGAAUAAGGUACACAGAACCAGGAACAGACAGAGGUGGCUUAAUCCUCAUAAAAAAGGAAGUUGUCCUGAAUGAUACACUGCCAGUAGGCCCCAGCCGAGCAUUUUUAACGAAGUAGCUCUGACUAUCCCCAGUCAAGUCUUCCCAACUAAAGGGACUAACAACCAGAAAACAUCAAAAGCAAAAUGUACUACCACACCGGUAACAACACGCUCCACCAAAAUCCCUUAUGGAAAUCCUCUCUGGAAAAUGAUGCAAGCUAGCUACCAAGUGUUGAACAAAACUAACCCAAACCUUACGGAACAUUGCUGGUUGUGCUACGGAAUAAAACCACCUUUUUAUGAGGCCGUAGGGGUAGUUGACAUACCUAUGCAGUCAAAUGGGACAAAUCCGGCCCGCUGCAUAUGGGAUACAGAAAAGCAAGGCAUUACACUGACACAGGUAGUGGGAAGGGGCUUGUGUGUAGGCAAAGUCCCAAAGCAUAAAGAACAACUGUGUUUUAGUAAGAGACAAUAUAAAGUCUCAGCAAAGUGGUUAAUACCGACCCAAAAUGCCAAGUGGAUUUGUUCUACUAUUGGAGUUACACCUUGUUUGUCGUUGGAAAACUUUAACGAAUCCUCAGAGUAUUGUGUCCAGAUAUCAAUAGUCCCCAAGAUUUAUUACCAUUCCGACGACUUUGUCUACAACUCACAUAUCACCCCCGAACAUCAUCUGUCAAAACGAGAACCCUUUACAGCAAUAACAGUGCCCACUCUACUGCUCAUAGGAGGUGCGGGAAUAGGUACAGGAGUAGCAUCCUUGGUGCAACAGAGUAAAGAAUUUAACGCCUUGAGGAUGGCAGUAGAUGAGGACUUGGCUGGAAUUGAACAAUCAGUAACUGCAUUAGAACAAUCAGUUAGAUCAUUGUCUGAAGUAGUGUUACAAAAUCGAAGAGGAUUAGACCUGAUGUUCUUACAACAAGGGGGAGUGUGCGCUGCACUAAGAGUGUUGUGUGUAUGCGGACCACACCGGAAUAGUGAGAGACACUAUGGCCAAAUUGCAAGAAGGAUUAGAAAAAUGGAAAAAGGAACGUGAGGCACAACAAAGCUGGUUUGAAUCAUGGUUCAACCAUUCGCCAUGGCUAACCACCCUGAUACCUACCUUGACAGGGCCAGUCGUAAUGAUCAUGGUGGCACUGAUCUUUGGACCCUGUAUACUAAAUAAGCUUGUGUCGUUCAUCAAAAGCCAGCUAGAGAAGGUUAACAUUAUGUUGGUAGAACGCCAACAACUGCUUUAAGAACACGUUUACUCUGUGUUACUCCCAAUUAUCCUUAGUUACCCUAAAUAGCACCCCGUUAUUACUAGUUACCCUCUAAUUUCCACCUGUCCACUGUGCCUUAUGUUUUCAUUUAAGUUUCCUAUGUUUUUCUAUUUUAGUUAGUUUAGUCGUGCAUAGGGAGGGGGGAAAUGUAGGUAGUUAGGGUCUGGCGGCCGGAAGAUACCGCGCUGUACGGAAAGGUAGGACCCCUCUCCCUAUGGUCUUUAGUUCAUGAUGUAAGCAGAUGGAAGUGAUGUUGUAAACUCAAGCCAUAUAAAGCUGUGUCAUUCAGUAAUAAAACGCCAUUUGCCGUCCACCA